rnacentral:rRNA from 1 species
CCCUUAGAUGUUCUGGGCCGCACGCGCGCUACACUUAUGCAUUCAACGAGCCUAUCCUUGACCGACAGGUCCGGGUAAUCUUUGAAUCUGCAUCGUGACGGGGAUAGAUUAUUGCAAUUAUUAAUCUUCAACGAGGAAUGCCUAGUAGGCGCAAGUCAUCAGCUUGCGUCGAUUACGUCCCUGCCCUUUGUACACACCGCCCGUCGCUCCUACCGAUUGGGUGUGCUGGUGAAAUGUUCGGAUCGGCCGUUUGUCGCGGUUUCCGCGUCAUGUGGCUGAGAAGUUCAUUAAACCCUCCCACCUAGAGGAAGGAGAAGUCGUAACA